rnacentral:ncRNA from 1 species
UUUGGGGGUGCCACUCGUUUGGGUGGCUGAGAUCAUACCCAUGGAAUCUGAUCCGGAUCAUGCCGGCGUAGAGAACUAAACUUAUU